rnacentral:rRNA from 1 species
GCAGAAAUUCGCCCUUCGGUAAUUCCAGCUCCAAUAGCGUAUACUAAAGUUGUUGCAGUUAAAAAGCUCGUAGUUGGAUUUCUGCGGGGACGGAGCGGCCGGACGCAACUUGCGUCUCGAGCUAGCGCUUUCCCCGCAUCCUGCCGCGAACCGUGCUACCAUUAGUUUGGUGGCGCUGGGGAUCGGCUCGAUUACUUUGAGAAAAAUAGAGUGUUCAAAGCAGGCCACACGCCUUGAAUAAGUUAGCAUGGAAUAAUGACUAAGGACUUCGGUUCUAUUUUGUUGGUGUUCGGGACUGAAGUAAUGAUUGAUAGGGACAGUUGGGGCGGUCUGUAUUCCAAAGCGAGAGGUGAAAUUCUUAGACCUUCGGAAGACAAACAGCUGCGAAAGCGUUCCGCAAGGAUGUUCCCUUUGAUCAAGAACGAAAGUUGGGGGAUCGAAGACGAUCAGAUACCGUCGUAGUCUCAACUAUAAACUAUACCAGCUAGGGAUCGGCCAACGUUUAAUUAUUCGACUUGGUCGGCACCUUAUGAGAAAUCAAAGCAUCUGGGUUCCGGGGGGAGUAUGGUCGCAAGGCUGAAACUUAAAGGAAUUGACGGAAGGGCACCACCAGCCGUGGAGCCUGUGGCUUAAUUUGACUCAACACGGGAAAACUUACCAGGUCCAGACAUAGGAAGGAUUGACAGAUUGAUAGCUCUUUCUUGAUUCUGUGGGUGGUGGUGCAUGGCCGUUUUUAGUUGGUGGAGUGAUUUGUCUGCUUAAUUGCGUUAACGAACGAGACCCCAGCCUGCUAAAUAGCGCGGCCGAGCUUUGCUCGGUGCGAGCUUCUUAGAGGGACCAUAAUGCGCGAUAGCACAAGGAAGUUUGGGGCAACAACAGGUCUGUGAUGCCCUUAGAUGUUCUGGGCCGCACACGGGCUACACUGGCGCCUGCAACGAGCAUAUCAGCUGGCCCGAGAGGGUCUUGGCUAAUCUUUUGAACCGGCGCCGUGCUUGGGAUUGACCUUUGCAAUUGUUGGUCAUGCAACGAGGAAUGCCUUGUAAACGCGAGUCAUCAGCUCGCAUUGAAUACGUCCCUGCCCUUUGUACACACCGCCC